rnacentral:misc_RNA from 1 species
GAAAUGCGAUAAGUAGUGUGAAUUGCAGAAUUCAGUGAAUCAUCGAAUCUUUGAACGCACAUUGCGCCCCUUGGUAUUCCAUGGGGCAUGCCUGUUCGAGCGUCAUUUGUACCCUCAAGCUCUGCUUGGUGUUGGGUGUUUGUCCCCGUCUCCGCGCGUGGACUCGCCCCAAAGUGAUUGGAAGCCGGCGUACUGGUCCCGGAGCGCAGCACAUGUCGCGCAAACGAGUGCCUUGGUACGGCGGCGUCCAUAAGCCCCUCUCUCACGCUCUUGACCUCGGAUCAGGUAGGGAUACCCGCUGAACUUAAGC